CUCUUAUUGUGGCAGAGGCAAUUGUAUGAAGCAUUUCUACAGAGUGAGACAGUUUUUUCAUCAGUCCAAGGGUCGGCAUUGGCUGCUUUAGCUGUAUUGAAAAAGAUAUGUGAUCAUCCGUCUCUGUUGACUCAAAGAGCAACAGAUGAUGUGUUGGAAGGGAUGGACAAGAUGCUUGAUGGCGACGAUCAUGCUCUCAUGGAAAAGAUGGUGAUGGAUGUUACGAGAAUCUCUUCGGAUGAUGCACCAAGACAGUUGGGCAAUGUUUCAUGCAAAAUAAAUUUUCUGAUGUCUUUGCUGGAAAAUUUGGUUGCAGAAGAUCAUAAUGUCCUUGUGUUUUCUCAGACACGGAAGAUGUUAGACAUCAUUCAGG